rnacentral:rRNA from 1 species
UACGUAGGGGGCAAGCGUUGUCCGGACUUACUGGGCGUAAAGCGCGCGCAGGCGGUCCUGUAUGUGCCGUGUGAAAGCGCCGGACUAAUCCCGGCGAGGUCAUGGUAGACAGCAGGACUGGAGCCUCAGAGAGGUCGAUGGAAUUCCGGGUGGAGCGGUGAAAUGCGUAGAUAUCGUUUGGAACGCCAAUGGUGAAAACAGGUCGCUGGGGAUGCGCUGACGCUGAGACACGAAAGCCAGGGGAGCAAACGGG